AUUGAACGCUGGCGGCAUGCCUUACACAUGCAAGUCGAACGGUAACAGGUCUUCGGAUGCUGACGAGUGGCGAACGGGUGAGUAAUACAUCGGAACGUGCCUAGUAGUGGGGGAUAACUACUCGAAAGAGUGGCUAAUACCGCAUGAGAUCUACGGAUGAAAGCAGGGGAUCGCAAGACCUUGUGCUACUAGAGCGGCCGAUGGCAGAUUAGGUAGUUGGUGGGAUAAAAGCUUACCAAGCCGACGAUCUGUAGCUGGUCCGAGAGGACGAUCAGCCAGACUGGGACUGAGACACGGCCCAGACUCCUACGGGAGGCAGCAGUGGGGAAUUUUGGACAAUGGGCGCAAGCCUGAUCCAGCAAUGCCGCGUGCAGGAUGAAGGCCUUCGGGUUGUAAACUGCUUUUGUACGGAACGAAAAGCCCUGGGUUAAUACCCUGGGGUCAUGACGGUACCGUAAGAAUAAGCACCGGCUAACUACGUGCCAGCAGCCGCCGUAAUAC
rnacentral:rRNA from 1 species